CCCUUAGAUGUUCUGGGCUGCACGCGUGCUACACUGAUAUUGCCAAUAUGUCAUUCUUAUCCGAAAUGGAUUGGGUAAUCAAGUAAUGAAAUUUCAUGCUUGGAAUCGGUAAUUGCAAUUUUAUCGUGAACGAGGAAUUCCUAGUAAGCACUAGUCAUCGGCUAAUGUUGAUUAUGUCCCUGCCCUUUGUACACACCGCCCGUCGCUACUACUGAUUGGGUGUUCAAGUGAGAUGCUUAGACCCUUGUUGCAUGGUUCAUUAUUGUGCUCCGAAAGGAAAAAGUUUCAAGCUUGAGUGUCUAGAGGAAGUAAAAGUCGUAACA
rnacentral:rRNA from 1 species